UGGGGAAUAUUGCACAAUGGGGGAAACCCUGAUGCAGCGACGCCGCGUGGAGGAAGAAGGUCUUCGGAUUGUAAACUCCUGUUGUUGAGGAAGAUAAUGACGGUACUCAACAAGGAAGUGACGGCUAACUACGUGCCAGCAGCCGCGGUAAAACGUAGGUCACAAGCGUUGUCCGGAAUUACUGGGUGUAAAGGGAGCGCAGGCGGGCGAUCAAGUUGGAAGUGAAAUCCAUGGGCUCAACCCAUGAACUGCUUUCAAAACUGGUCGUCUUGAGUAGUGCAGAGGUAGGCGGAAUUCCCGGUGUAGCGGUGGAAUGCGUAGAUAUCGGGAGGAACACCAGUGGCGAAGGCGGCCUACUGGGCACCAACUGACGCUGAGGCUCGAAAGUGUGGGUAGCAAACAGGAUUAGAUACCCUGGUAGUCCACACCGUAAACGAUGAUUACUAGGUGUUGGGAGAUUGACCCUCUCAGUGCCGCAGUUAACACAAUAAGUAAUCCACCUGGGGAGUACGACCGCAAGGUUGAAACUCAAAGGAAUUGACGGGGGCCCGCACAAGCAGUGGAGUAUGUGGUUUAAUUCGACGCAACGCGAAGAACCUUACCAAGUCUUGACAUCCCUUGACGAUGCUGGAAACAGUAUUUCUCUUCGGAGCAAGGAGACAGGUGGUGCAUGGUUGUCGUCAGCUCGUGUCGUGAGAUGUUGGGUUAAGUCCCGCAACGAGCGCAACCCUUAUGGUCAGUUACUACGCAAGAGGACUCUGGCCAGACUGCCGUUGACAAAACGGAGGAAGGUGGGGAUGACGUCAAAUCAUCAUGCCCUUUAUGACUUGGGCUACACACGUACUACAAUGGCGUUAAACAAAGAGAAGCAAGACCGCGAGGUGGAGCAAAACUCAGAAACAACGUCCCAGUUCGGACUGCAGGCUGCAACUCGCCUGCACGAAGUCGGAAUUGCUAGUAAUCGUGGAUCAGCAUGCCACGGUGAAUACGUUCCC
rnacentral:rRNA from 2 species